AAUUAUACAUAGAUUGUUAGAGGAAUAAUAUAUCGUGACUUUUCUCUCACUUACCACUAACUCUGCUAUAAAACCUCUAUAUCAGUUAAAAUGGCGAAUAAAUCAUUAAAAACUUUAUACGAGCCAGGAAAUUUCAGUUCUAUGGUUCAGGACAGAGCACUAUAUAAAUCACUUCCUACUCAAUAUGCAACUCAAGCGAGGGAGAUAGAGCUGGUAGAGAUAGAAAUAGGAGUAGUUACAAGAGGGGAGAAGCUCACUAAUCUGUCAUAUAAUUUGAUCCUUGCUCAUUACUUAUCUGAAUUUUACCCUGAGCAUGGACUCUGUGCACCCGAUCCUGCUAACCUAGCAGCAUGUGAGGCAGGCCUACUAUUGAACUGCUCGGAUUUUACUCAAACAACACAAUGGAUGGAAGGAGUGAGGGCAUUUGAAACAGCUGGAGUACGCUUAAAAAUUAUUCCUAUGACAUGUGCCGCAUUUAGAGCGAGGUAUCUUGAAUUUGUUAAUGAAGAGUUUUCAGAUGAGGAUCUUCAAGAAUUUGCUAACAUCUUUCCAGAAUUCGACUAUAUUAUGAAGAACACAAGGGCUAUGUGUGUCUUGGCAUGCAUAACAAUUCUAUCUUGUUACAAGAGUCUAUCUGCAGAUAACCACGAAAAAUGGAUUGAUAAUAGGGUUCAGACAUUUAUAGGAUCCCUUCCAGACCCUCAAUCCCGACCUCAUCUCACUUCCAACACCUACCCCAAGUUAAAGAACUUAGCUCUUGUUGAGAAUUUUGUAUCAGGAAACCACUUUGUUAAGAAAGAGCUUUUCAUGAUGAUAGGAGCUAUUGCAAAAGGGAACAGGCAGACCUUCAUCACAAAUGGAAUGUCAGAUAUCCUGAUGGGAUUCCCCCUUCAUUUUUGAAGAGCUGCCUGGAACGCUUGGUGGAGCCUUUAUUUAUCCUCUUCAACAGAUCUUUAAAGGAGGGCUGCUUUCCUCAAAGAUGGAAGUUCUCCAAAGUGGUAUUUCUUGAUUAGACGGUUAAAUCGGUGAAUCGGAGAAUCAAAUCAGAAAAAGUAGCAUAGAAUUUCGUAUUUGAUUGACGAUUAAGCGCUUGAUUUGGCAAUCAGAGCUUUAUGAAACCCGCUGUGAAUGUUUCAGACACAGAAAUACAAGCUUCUCCUUCAGAAAGAAGAGACAGUUCAGAAGGAACCACAUUACCAGAUGAUCAUGUUACUAUUGUUACUGAUCAGAACUCUGAAGUAUCGAGAAAAGGGGAUGCUGAUGAGCAAAAGAAUUCAGCAAUUACUGGUAAGAUACAAAUAUAUUUUCAUAGUGGAAUUUUGAAUAAGGCUUACAUCGCUCUGAAUUCUUACACUACUUCUAUCUUUUUCUAGAAAUAUCUGGUUCAGAUGAGAAUAGGAAUGGUCAAGUAGCCGAAUCUUCAGAUGAUUCAUUUGACAAUUCAUCAUUCACUGGUAUGAUAUUAUUUAUUGUUCUUAUCGUAAAUCUUUGAAUAAGGAAUACUUAGCCGAGUUUCUAAUUAGUGGAGCAAACUUUAUGUUUCAGAAACAGAAAUGUAUGAAAAAAGAAGUCCUGAAAUUACUGGUUUUUCAGACGAUUCAGUCGAAGAUCCAAACUUUGAAAUCGCCAAUUUCUGAAGAUAAUCCAAAGUCCCAGCAAACUGGAUGUACUGAUGAUUCAAUGAUCAGCAUGAAUACUGGUCCAACAAAAGUGAUAGAAGAUGCCCAAACAUUACCUGGUAAAAUGAAUUUCAUAUUAAGGCUUAUAAAAUUUUAGCUCUUUUUGUUGUGUGAAGCCCACUCCUAACAGCCGAAAAUUCUCUCAAGAAUUUUCAGUUGUAAUUUAACUAGUGCAAUGAAAAUUAUCGAUAAUUUUUGGGAAAGAUGCUUGAAUGCAAGUUAAGUUGAAAAAGAGCAGGAGUGCGCGGAGCGCUCGAGUGCCUUUUACAGUUAAACUUGCAUGAGAGCAGAUUUGUCAAAAAUUAUCGAUCAUUUUCAUUGCAAGAGUUAAAUUUAAUAAGAAAAUUUUGUGAAUCCAUCAAAUCGUACUGUGACGCUGUCAGUUGGUGUCACAUUGCCGUCACCAGUGGCGACGAUA